AAAAAUAAUAACCGGGUAGCAGUAUGGUAGCAGGUUAUUACGGAAAAAUAAUAACCUGCUAGUCUGCUACCAGGUUAUUAUUUUUC